rnacentral:sRNA from 1 species
GCUGGGCACAGUAGCACACGCCUGUAAUCCCAGCAGCUCAGGAGGCUGAGGCAGGAGCAUUGCAAGUUCAAAACCAGCUGAGCAACUUAGCAAGACCCUGAGCAACCUAGCAAGACCCUGUCUCUA